GACGAACGCUGGCGGCGUGCUUAACACAUGCAAGUCGAACGGAAAGGCCCUGCUUUUGUGGGGUGCUCGAGUGGCGAACGGGUGAGUAACACGUGAGUAACCUGCCCUUGACUUUGGGAUAACUUCAGGAAACUGGGGCUAAUACCGGAUAGGAGCUCCUGCUGCAUGGUGGGGGUUGGAAAGUUUCGGCGGUUGGGGAUGGACUGGCGGACUAUCGGCUUGUUGGUGGGGUAGUGGCUUACCAAGGCUUGGACGGGUAGCCGGCCUGGGAGGGUGACCGGCCACAUUGGGCCUGGGAUACGACCCAGACUCCUACGGUAGGCAGCAGUGGGGAAUAUUGCACAAUGGGCGGAAGCAUGAUGCAGCAACGCCGCGUGCGGGAUGACGGCCUUCGGGUUGGAAACCGCUUUCGCCUGUGACGAAGCGUGAGUGACGGUAAUGGGUAAAGAAGCACCGGCUAACUACGUG
rnacentral:rRNA from 1 species